rnacentral:lncRNA from 1 species
AUUGAGAAAAAUCAGAAAAAUAGUGAAACAGGAAGAAAUCCCACAGGGAAGCAGAGCCGCACGCGCGGAUGCCGCGCAGAUAGGCCCUAUGCAUGGUAAGAGGCCUGUGCACCUGCAAGAUAGCCUGCAGUGCACCACUGUCACCUCCGACGGUGCCCCAGUGGCUGGAGGAGGCCCUUCUCCCUCAUUUUUUGUGUCGAGCUCUUUUUCUCCUCUCUCUUCAUCGGAUUUUGCCACUUAGUGCAAAUCCGACCGUUAUAAAAUUUUAUAAAUAGGUCUUCCCGUCCUAUUCUUUCCCACAUUUCCAUUCUUCAAUUUUUCUAGACGUAAGAGAACCGCUCCUAGUGGAUGACGGUGUACCCUCUGACGAGAGUGGUAACGCGAAUAUUUAUUAGGGGUCAGCCUAAUAAAAGAGAAAAUCAAAUAAAUUAUGAAAUGCUAUGAUCUUAGUGUCAUGCUUCACGAUAUUACUUAGCCACGGGUGACCCCUACAGAUAGUGUGAUACCACUCUCGUCAGAGGGUACGUCAUCCUCCAUUGGGAGUGGUCCUCUUAUAUCUUUCCAGACCAGAUAGAGGAGGGAGGAAAAAGAUACCCCAAAGAGCCAGAGGAACAGAUACUCCUCAACGAUAAAAAGGCUAACGAGACACUUGAUGCAACAUGCAUGUCAAUACAGAUACACUUCAGACCAUACAUGCUUC